rnacentral:lncRNA from 1 species
AUUCCUAAUAAAGUAGAGGGUCAUAGGUAUUGAAUAUCCUCAGCAAAAUCAAGAAUUGCUUUCAAAUAAUUGCUACUUGUCUUUUAAAACAUUUAUAAGGAGUUAUAGAAAUACACACUAGGAAUUUCUACCCAUAAAAAGGAACAUUUUGCUUUCAAAAGCUAUUGAAAUCUGAUUUCUGUCACAUCUGUGAUCCACAAGUCCCUAAGGCCCAAGAUAGUCCAAUAGUGGUACGAAUGAAAUAGAUGUUUCACUGUUUAUGAAAUGCUUGGUAUAAAUGUUGGCAGUCAAUGCUAGAUUAUGGGAGAUCGUAUUUCCUGGUGCCUCUCCAAAACUGCCAAAAAUAUGACAACUGUUAAUUCUCAGUGCCCCCGAGAAGCAAGUAAUUUACAGCACGGAAAUCAAAUGCAGAAAGGAAAUGUUCAGACUCUAGGAGUGGAUAAGACUGUAUCCCAACACUGGUAGAACUGCAUAGUGACCUCUCUGGCAAAUCAAUCAACAUUUUCUAAAUGAAGGAAACAGACAAAAGCUACAGGUGGCACCACUGAGGUUUCAUUUCUCACCACAAAAACAGGCACAAGUCACAUUAUUGUCAAGAAGCUUGUAAAACUACCUUCAAAAUUAACAGCAAAUGUUAUGCUUAAAGAGAAAGCAUAGUGAGCAACUGGCAACUUCCUUUAUCAAAGAACAAUGUUGGACAUUGUGUGACAUCAUUGGUGUAUCAAGUGGAAGGGCAACUACUGUCACUUGAGCAUGCCAGUGCAUAUUUCCCUUUUGGAGUGGACCAAAUCCAUUGGCAGAUAAUGACUUUUUUCUUAGCAUACAUUUAUAAACACUUGGAGGUUCACAGAUCAUUCAGGACCUGAGAUGAUAAUGUCUUAUGGAAAAAUCCAGAAUGACUCCAUGUUCUUUUCAAGAAAACCAACCAGUAUGGCCCUCGCAUUACUACAGCAAAUGUUGCUGAGUAGAUACUGAGGUUAAGGCAUGAGUGUUGCUUUUCCAAGAUUCAGUUUUCUUCUCUAUGAAACGGGUAUAAUAAGGUAUCUCACAGGAUUCUUUGCGAGGAUUGUUAAGAGCUUAAUUCAAGAAUGGACAGACUACUUAGUCAUUAAAUGAUUUAUUGUUUGUAUUAUUAUAUUACACUUCUUCUGAAUAAGAGGAUUUUUAAACCUCAUUCAAAUUCUCACUCUCCAAAGCCACCAAGAGCUCCUUUGUCACUAAGAGUUCUUUCUUUUAUUAUACCCCAAAGAUUAUUCUCUGCCUUUUUUUUUUUUUCUUAAAAUGAAGUCAUUCUCCACCCAACUUCUAAUCUGUGACUCCCUCAUUCAUCUUUAAGGUUCUCACAUACUUUACAUUUCAUCCUUAAAUUUAAGGAAAAAUUCAGAAGUCAUGCUUAACCUGUUACAUUAAAAUAUUUUUUCUAAAUUUUUAUUCUAAGUGUUUUUUUUUUUAAUACUAGAAACUAAGACAAACUAGUUGCAGUAAUUAAGUCUGAGCUGAAAAUUUAAAGAUAUGGUAAAGAGCUUGCAACACAGAAAAGAAAACUUAAGGCAGUGUCAAAUUGC